AGAAUAUUGAUUUCUUCAUUAUUAUUGACAUGUUCUAAUCAAUUUGUUACUUUUCAGGAAUUUUACUAUUGCAGACUUCGAUUUAUUUAAUUACAUAACAGAAAAUGAUUUAUCAGUGGUGAAUAAAUAAAUUAUUUAGUUGAAUUAAUUUAAUUUGAUAUUUUGUGUUUAUUUUUAUUUACAUUGGUUACUCCUCUUUGGAGUACACCUGUAGACUCUAUUUGUAGCAUUAAUUUGAGUGGUCACUUAGAUCUGGUCAUGUGAUUGGUUUAUAGGGGUACUUGUAUUUGUUCAUUUCUGACUCCUGAAUUUCAUGCUAAGAGGCUAGCCAUGCGGUUUUAACUGCCAUAUUAGAAUUUUGAAGUUGUUCUAUAUUUUAUUCAUCUUUGAAGUGUUUUCCUGCACUUAGAAGUUUUGACAUACACUUACACACGACCUACAUGUAACUGGUAGAAGUUUCCAUGACCUUCGCACCCCAUGGGAGAGAUUGAUCAUAUAGGACUAAGGUCCACUGAGACUAGUUUGGAUCAUGUCAAAAAGCUGGAAUUACAAAUAAUAAAAAACAGGAUUCUGCUUGAAAAUAUAUGUUAUUGAAAAACUGUAGAUACUCAAAUUAUGAAAACCACUGGCAAACAAUUUGUGAGAAAUUAUAACAAGUUUUAUUACAUAUGUGAUUGCUUAAACUAUUCUUUUUUUUUGAAUUAUAUUGACUUGUGAACAAAUAUUUUGAUACAUGUGCCCCCUUUUCUAUUGUAUUUUUUUAUCUUCUAUAUCUCCCUUUUUCUCUUUUUAUUUACUGCUAUUUUUUUUUAUCUACCUAUUUUUUUUUGCAAGAAAACACGAUUUCACACUACACGGAUAAUCUAUUUCCUUUAGAUUAAUAAGAUAUUACAAUAUGUAGAAUCUUGAAAUGUAUGAAAUAUGUCUGAAAUAUGUGUGUAUGUGGAUUUCUGUGUAAACAAAAAACAAAAAAAAAAACAAAAGCUUAUGGAACUGAAGAAGUACACAAUACACUACAGCUCAUGAGAGAGGAUCUCUACUGAAUAAAAAUAUUGUCGAAACAUACGAUUUGUUUUGGUGCAAUGUAUUUAGGCAAACGACAAACACACAUGCAACUUAUAAGAUCAUGCAAAGGAUAAAGCAUUGCAUUGCUGUUGAAUCUGAUUUUAGCAGUAACUGUACUGUUGAAAAAAUCAGUGCUUUCAUUGCCCACUCUUUCACGUGGAUCUCCAGGAAGAACCCAUUAAUCCCCAUAAGUCCAAUCUACAUGUAACAUGAAUGACAAAAGUAUUUGUUUAGGUGCUUUUUUUUUUUUAAAAUUAGCUGUUCGCUCUGACUAAGCGCCAAAAGAUUGGGUUCUGAAUGCACAUUUUUAGACCAAAAUUCCCUGAAGGACUUUUGGUACCCCCUGAUU